UGAGGAAUAUUGGUCAAUGGGCGCAAGCCUGAACCAGCCAUCCCGCGUGAAGGAAGAAGGCGCUAUGCGUUGUAAACUUCUUUUCCAGGGGAAUAAAAUUUUGUACGUGUACGGAAUUGAAGGUACCCUGGGAAUAAGCAUCGGCUAACUCCGUGCCAGCAGCCGCGGUAAUACGGAGGAUGCAAGCGUUAUCCGGAUUUAUUGGGUUUAAAGGGUGCGCAGGCGGGAAAAUAAGUCAGUGGUGAAAUCCUGCAGCUUAACUGUAGAAUUGCCGUUGAUACUGUUUUUCUUGAGUGUGGUCAAGGAAGGCGGAAUGUGUAAUGUAGCGGUGAAAUGCUUAGAUAUUACACAGAACACCAAUUGCGAAGGCAGCUUUCUGGGCCGUAACUGACGCUCAUGCACGAAAGCGUGGGGAUCGAACAGG
rnacentral:rRNA from 2 species